GGAUAGAGGAAAACUUACUGGCAUCAUCACAAAACGGAAAGACGGUAAGCCUGCACCUGCCAGAGGUCGUGAUCCCAGCGUCCCGGGAACAGUCUAAGGAGGAGCCAACAAAUCCCCCUUCCUGAUUUCACCUGGUUUGAGCUGGGUUUCUGUCACUUGCGACCAAAAAAUCCCGACUGAUACACCUCAGCAUGAACGUACCUCGGCAGGAUUUGAGAGUUUUUGAGAUAAUGGGGGAAAUUUGAACACAGUCUGGAUAUUAUGUGACGUUAAGACAUUAUUAUUGCUUUACUUAAGCGUGAUAGUGGUAUUAUGGUUAUUUUAAAAAAUAUUUAUCUGUUAAGAAUACAUACUGAAGUAUUUCGGGGUGAAA